AAAUAUGUAACAAAUCUAUAUUACAAUUUAAUUACUGCGAAAUAUAUGAGAGUUGCGCCUAAUGUAAAAACUGAUGGUCACUUAACUUUUUAUUGUUUUUGCCCUCUUUCAUGCAUGUUCUCUCUAAGAACUGUUUUUUUUUUUGCCUGGCGUUUUGUAAACAACUGAUCCAAGGAUGGUUGUUUUUGUCGGCUUUUAACAAUCCUUUGAAAAUGUCCAAGGCAAACAUCAUCAAUGUGAGCGAUCGCCGGACCGGUGAACUUUUUCUGGGUUAUUCACAUUUACGUAAAACGAUCGGAACCCCUCAUGGCGAAGGAUGAGGACGCGGCAUAGACACAGGUUUAUCUGUGUAUCCAUCUAUCUCCACAAAUAGACACAUGCGGUAAGAGGUCCCUCUUAAGCCAAUGGGAUGCCAGGAUGAUGCUGGGUAGUAGCCAAUGGAAGAGCAGCUCUAAGUAUGUUGCGUUCAGGAAACUCGGAGUUCCGAUUUGCAGCCCACACUGUAUUUUUACCUUUUCGAGCUUGAAAUUUCUUCUGUAACAAGAUUCAACAUUUUCCUAUUGAGGCGUUUCGUAAAUUGAAAUUUUUGUAUGAAGAGACGUUCGUAAGUAGAGGCACCAUUGUACCUGAUCAUCUUUUCUCUGGACCUCUAAUUCACGGGGAUCUAAAAGAAGGAAUGCCCUUCAACGUAAGAGGUGGUAAAAGAAGGCCACUAAAAGACAUACACUGCAAGUAUUAUGCACCCCAGUAUGACAAUGGCAGAGUUGCAUUGAAAGCAGCAAUAAAAUCAACACAUACAUUUGGUACCAUUUUUUUCUCACAUUUUACAAUUCUUUUACUUUAUGACAACUUGCACUGUAUAUUUAUUUCUGACUUGGCCCGUGGAGGAGACAUGUCUCCUUCCGGACCCUGAUUGGCAGGCGAACGAUGUUCCGAAUUUUGCAAGGGUCAUUGAUCAUCACUUGAGCCAGAACGUCUCCGAGCACGCCUAGAACUACAUCACAAAGUGGGAUAUAUCAAACUUAACUUGGACUCACUCCUUCCUCCCCUACUGGGAUGAGCAAAAAGUUCAAGCAAACAUUCUGAACAUGACAAUAGUUCUUCUGUUUUUGAAAAUAAACAUCUAUGAUGGAUGAGUUCCAGGCAAAGCAAUUUACAUGAGCGAUUUGAAGAUCCUCUUAGUGGUGAAAAUGCAAAGUGAACGUGCUGCGUGCAAGUGUGGGCCUACGUUUUUCUUUUAUGUGCGGCUGCCGCCUCGCUCUUUGAGAAAGUAAAUUGGAAAUCGGUUUGAACUCAAACACUGCGUGCCAUGACAAUAUGUGGAAAAGGGAGACUUCACCCUCUAACAACAUCGCCCCCCCGCCCUAAUCCCCUCUCGGGCGACAUGAUCAGUUAAUGUGUUUGUUGCGUGUGUGUGUGUGUGUGUGUAGCUGGCUCCCUCACCCUAUGACCUUGCAGCCACACGCAAUGAGGAUACGCAGUGAGAGCGCUCGCAUGUCUGAGGUCACAAACACGCAGCCUGUUUUCACCGUCCAUCUUCCUCAGACGUGCAGCGAUUUGUUCAUUUUCCGCUGCCGAAUGAGCUAAAACACAUCACUUCUUUCCAUUCUAUAAAUUACAACGAUAGUUUGAGUUCCGUGUAAUCCUCUUUGACAAUUGGCAAUCCCGGAGAUACGCUCACAGCUGCCUGGCACUAGCUAUCAGUCUUCCUCUUCCUUGCUUUGUUCCUCGUGUCACAUCUCGAUGCCAGUUGCAUCUGUCUCUGUCUCUCGCUCUCGCUCUUUUCUUUUCAAAAUAUUUUCCCACCUGUCAUGUCACAGCUACUGUUUAUUUAGAUUAGUCAAACAUUGUACAUGUUCAGUUGACACAGCUAUAUGAUCUCGAAUGGGUACACUGCAAAUUAUACACAUGUGACCACUCGGUAUGUCACAGCUUCUUAUGUUUUUUGAUUGAGCAAAAGGGAAAACACUCGGUUGCCUAAGCAAGAAACGAAAACAAGCAUGAGUUUCCUGUUCCAUGGUCUCAUCUUCAGCAGAGAGGACGUGCCGUGGCAGUGACUUCAACCGAGAAACACAAUACCCACAUUUGUUCCAAUGACAACAAAUUCUCUUUGGCUUUCAAAAUCAAGGUGGUUUGCGUUUGAUAAAUGACAAGCUACAUCUGGGCCCCUCUCGCUUGUCUCUUUCGGUUUUGGCAAAGACAAAAAAUAAACGUCCCCAGAGAUCAUUAAAAAGGGAAGAUUCAAUUAGUCUGCUUUGCGUUACUUGAAAUUCUAUGAGGCCGUGUUGUCUUCAAACUACUUCUUCAGAGUCAUGAAAUACCAGACUGGGGAAAUAGCCUUUUGAUUCUGUGCUGAGCGAAAUCCAUCAUUUAAAAAAAAAAUCAUUACAAAAAACAACAAAA